AUUAAAACCUUUCUCCCUCAAUCCUUGAUGGAUUGCAACCACACCCAAGCAAUUUCUUUCCCCUCUCAGUUACAUUUUUCAUAUUAUUUUCAAAGCUAUGAAUUUGAUUUAUGGUGGAAGAUGCUAAAUAUAUGUUAUAGACAUUUUUGUGUUGAUGGAAGUAGAGGAGUGGAAGUAGACAUUUUUGUUGCAUCUAAGUUGAUAGGAGUUUGGUACUCUCUAAACUGAAAGAUUUAUAAUCUCUGCUGCCCACAUCUUUAUUUAUCACAACUCAAAGGAACAAAUUUUUCUCAUGUUAGUCGGUAGUUGUGUAUAAAACACAGUAAAGAAGAAGUUUUUGAAGAUACAGGGGUGUUUACAACUGAGAUAGAUGCAGAACAAGGGAUGUGGAACCAAACAUUCUCAUCAAGCAAUCUAAACCAAACAAUAACAAUAUAUAUUUUGUAUUUUGCUGUCUUUGUCUUUUUAGCUGGAAAAAAUUUUGUUCUGGAAAAAAAAGUGUAAUGCUAUUUUGUAGGGAUAAUUAUUAACAAAAAUAUUUUAUGGAAAGCAAUCAAAGCGCAUGCAACUACUAGCAUCAAAUAUCUUAUGGAGACCAAAAUUUUAAUUUUUUUUUUCAUAAAAUAUUUGUUGUCUUUCCCGCUAAAAAGUUUUAUUAUAUUUAUUCCCAUUCAAUUUAAUAAAGCAACAAGUUGACAUUGUUCCUUUUGUUCUCAGGAGAAGAAUUUUUGAAGAUACAGGUACUUCCAUCAUAUUUUCCAUGUUUGUUUGUUUACUUUUGUGUUUUGUUUUGUUUUACUGCAUUUCAUGUAGAAAACUCAUCUUAUGCAACUAUUAUAUAUGAUUUAUUUAUUUUUAUAUGGUUUCAAUUAUUAUUAUUGUCCCAAUAAAACAAAACAAAACCUUAAUUUGGUUUGUGUUGAUUAAUGAAUGACAGGGUGUUUACAACAGAGAUAAAUGUAGAAUAA